GGGUUGUGAGGUUAAGCGACUAAGCGUACACGGUGGAUGCCCUGGCAGUCAGAGGCGAUGAAGGGCGUGCUAAUCUGCGAUAAGCGCCGGUAAGGUGAUAUGAACCGUUAUAACCGGCGAUACCCGAAUGGGGAAACCCAGUGUGACUCGUCACACUAUCAUUAACUGAAUCCAUAGGUUAAUGAGGCGAACCGGGGGAACUGAAACAUCUAAGUACCCCGAGGAAAAGAAAUCAACCGAGAUUCCCCCAGUAGCGGCGAGCGAACGGGGAGGAGCCCAGAGCCUGAAUCAGCAUGUGUGUUAGUGGAAGCGUCUGGAAAGGCGCGCGAUACAGGGUGACAGCCCCGUACACAAAAGCGCAUGUGCUGUGAGCUCGAUGAGUAGGGCGGGACACGUGGUAUCCUGUCUGAAUAUGGGGGGACCAUCCUCCAAGGCUAAAUACUCCUGACUGACCGAUAGUGAACCAGUACCGUGAGGGAAAGGCGAAAAGAACCCCGGCGAGGGGAGUGAAAAAGAACCUGAAACCGUGUACGUACAAGCAGUGGGAGCCCCACCACCAAAGCAUUCUCUGGUGUUGAAGGCCCUGCAAAGCAGCAUCGCGGUGGCGGAGCGUCGUUUGCGACGCCCAACACACAAAACAAGCGGUGAGUGCUUUGGGGUGGGGUGACUGCGUACCUUUUGUAUAAUGGGUCAGCGACUUAUAUUCUGUAGCAAGGUUAACCGAAUAGGGGAGCCGGAGGGAAACCGAGUCUUAACCGGGCGUUAAGUUGCAGGGUAUAGACCCGAAACCCGGUGAUCUAGCCAUGGGCAGGUUGAAGGUUGGGUAACACUAACUGGAGGACCGAACCGACUAAUGUUGAAAAAUUAGCGGAUGACCUGUGGCUGGGGGUGAAAGGCCAAUCAAACCGGGAGAUAGCUGGUUCUCCCCGAAAGCUAUUUAGGUAGCGCCUCGUGAAUUCAUCUCCGGGGGUAGAGCACUGUUUCGGCUAGGGGGCCAUCCCGGCUUACCAACCCGAUGCAAACUGCGAAUACCGGAGAAUGUUAUCACGGGAGACACACGGCGGGUGCUAACGUCCGUCGUGAAGAGGGAAACAACCCAGACCGCCAGCUAAGGUCCCAAAGUCAUGGUUAAGUGGGAAACGAUGUGGGAAGGCCCAGACAGCCAGGAUGUUGGCUUAGAAGCAGCCAUCAUUUAAAGAAAGCGUAAUAGCUCACUGGUCGAGUCGGCCUGCGCGGAAGAUGUAACGGGGCUAAACCAUGCACCGAAGCUGCGGCAGCGACACUCAGGUGUUGUUGGGUAGGGGAGCGUUCUGUAAGCCUGUGAAGGUGGCCUGUGAGGGUUGCUGGAGGUAUCAGAAGUGCGAAUGCUGACAUAAGUAACGAUAAAGCGGGUGAAAAGCCCGCUCGCCGGAAGACCAAGGGUUCCUGUCCAACGUUAAUCGGGGCAGGGUGAGUCGACCCCUAAGGCGAGGCCGAAAGGCGUAGUCGAUGGGAAACGGGUUAAUAUUCCCGUACUUGGUGUUACUGCGAAGGGGGGACGGAGAAGGCUAUGUUGGCCGGGCGACGGUUGUCCCGGUUUAAGCGUGUAGGUGUGUGUUCCAGGUAAAUCCGGUUCACUUUAACACUGAGGCGUGACGACGAGGCACUACGGUGCUGAAGCAACAAAUGCCCUGCUUCCAGGAAAAGCCUCUAAGCAUCAGGUAACACGAAAUCGUACCCCAAACCGACACAGGUGGUCAGGUAGAGAAUACCAAGGCGCUUGAGAGAACUCGGGUGAAGGAACUAGGCAAAAUGGUGCCGUAACUUCGGGAGAAGGCACGCUGACACGUAGGUGAAGUGAUUUACUCACGGAGCUGAAGUCAGUCGAAGAUACCAGCUGGCUGCAACUGUUUAUUAAAAACACAGCACUGUGCAAACACGAAAGUGGACGUAUACGGUGUGACGCCUGCCCGGUGCCGGAAGGUUAAUUGAUGGGGUCAGCGCAAGCGAAGCUCCUGAUCGAAGCCCCGGUAAACGGCGGCCGUAACUAUAACGGUCCUAAGGUAGCGAAAUUCCUUGUCGGGUAAGUUCCGACCUGCACGAAUGGCGUAAUGAUGGCCAGGCUGUCUCCACCCGAGACUCAGUGAAAUUGAACUCGCUGUGAAGAUGCAGUGUACCCGCGGCAAGACGGAAAGACCCCGUGAACCUUUACUAUAGCUUGACACUGAACAUUGAGCCUUGAUGUGUAGGAUAGGUGGGAGGCUUUGAAGUGUGGACGCCAGUCUGCAUGGAGCCGACCUUGAAAUACCACCCUUUAAUGUUUGAUGUUCUAACGUGGACCCGUGAUCCGGGUUGCGGACAGUGUCUGGUGGGUAGUUUGACUGGGGCGGUCUCCUCCUAAAGAGUAACGGAGGAGCACGAAGGUUGGCUAAUCCUGGUCGGACAUCAGGAGGUUAGUGCAAUGGCAUAAGCCAGCUUGACUGCGAGCGUGACGGCGCGAGCAGGUGCGAAAGCAGGUCAUAGUGAUCCGGUGGUUCUGAAUGGAAGGGCCAUCGCUCAACGGAUAAAAGGUACUCCGGGGAUAACAGGCUGAUACCGCCCAAGAGUUCAUAUCGACGGCGGUGUUUGGCACCUCGAUGUCGGCUCAUCACAUCCUGGGGCUGAAGUAGGUCCCAAGGGUAUGGCUGUUCGCCAUUUAAAGUGGUACGCGAGCUGGGUUUAGAACGUCGUGAGACAGUUCGGUCCCUAUCUGCCGUGGGCGCUGGAGAACUGAGGGGGGCUGCUCCUAGUACGAGAGGACCGGAGUGGACGCAUCACUGGUGUUCGGGUUGUCAUGCCAAUGGCACUGCCCGGUAGCUAAAUGCGGAAGAGAUAAGUGCUGAAAGCAUCUAAGCACGAAACUUGCCCCGAGAUGAGUUCUCCCUGAGACUUUAGGUCUCCUGAAGGAACGUUGAAGACGACGACGUUGAUAGGCCGGGUGUGUAAGCGCAGCGAUGCGUUGAGCUAACCGGUACUAAUGAACCGUGAGGCUUAACCUUACAACGCCGAAG
rnacentral:rRNA from 1 species